AAUAAUACUCAAUUUUGCUAAAGUGAAGAGGGAUUGUAAGUAGAAAGGGUUGAUGUUUGUGGGUAUCAACAUCGCAAGCUAAAUAAGGAGUGCUAUUGUUGAUACGGGGGCAUUUGAUUUGUUCAUAUCAGAGAAAGCGAUAGGUAAACUUGAUCUCUUAGUUAGCAAAUUGACUAAGAGGAUUAAGACUGUAAAUUCUAAAGAGGUCCUAAUUGUGGGAGUAGCACAAGGAGUUUGAGUUCCAGAUCGGGCAAUGGAAA
rnacentral:lncRNA from 1 species